GAUGAACGCUGGCGGCGUGCUUAACACAUGCAAGUCGAACGAUGAAGCUCAGCUUGCUGGGUGGAUUAGUGGCGAACGGGUGAGUAACACGUGAGUAACCUGCCCUUAACUCUGUGAUAAGCCUGGGAAACUAGGUCUAAUACCGGAUAGGAGCGCCUACCGCAUGGUGGGUGUUGGAAAGAUUUAUCGGUUUUGGAUGGACUCGCGGCCUAUCAGCUUGUUGGUGAGGUAAUGGCUCACCAAGGCGACGGCGGGUAGCCGGCCUGAGAGGGUGACCGGCCACACUGGGACUGAGACACGGCCCAGACUCCUACGGGAGGCAGCAGUGGGGAAUAUUGCACAAUGGGCGAAAGCCUGAUGCAGCGACGCCGCGUGAGGGAUGACGGCCUUCGGGUUGUAAACCUCUUUCAGUAGGGAAGAAGCGAAAGUGACGGUACCUGCAGAAGAAGCACCGGCUAACUACGUG
rnacentral:rRNA from 1 species